rnacentral:hammerhead_ribozyme from 1 species
AUGCAACUGACGCGUCCAAAAUAGGACGAAGCGCACGUCAGACUGGAU